rnacentral:rRNA from 1 species
ACUACGGGUGGCUGCAGUGAGGAAUAUUGGUCAAUGGUCGGGAGACUGAACCAGCCAAGCCGCGUGAGGGAUGAAGGUACAGAGUAUCGUAAACCUCUUUUGUCAGGGAACAAAGGCGGAGACGUGUCCCCUGAUGAGUGUACCUGAAGAAAAAGCAUCGGCUAACUCCGUCCCCGCAGCCGCGUUAAUAGGGAGGAUGCGAGUGUUAUCCGGUGGUAUUGGGUGAGGAGGUGGCGCAGGCGGUCUGUUAAGUCAGCGGUCAAAGCGCGGGGCUCAGCCCCGGCCCGCCGUUGAAACUGGCAGUAUCGAGUUGGAGAGAAGUAUGCGGAAUGCGCGGUGUAGCGGUGAAAUGCAUAGAUAUCGCGCAGAACUCCGAUUGCGAAGGCAGCAUGCCGGCUCCAAACUGACGCUGAGGCACGAAAGCGUGGGUAUCGAACAGGAUUAGAUACCCCUGUAGUC